rnacentral:rRNA from 1 species
ACUUGCCAGUUGCUACCAGGUAAUGCUGGGCGACUCUGGUGAGACUGCCCGUUAACCGGGGAGGAAGGUGGGGACGGACGUCAAGUCAUCAUGGCCCUUACGCCUAGGGCUACACACGUACUACAAUGGCGCAUACAAAGGGCAGCGAUACCGCGAGGUGGAGCCAAUCCCAAAAAGUGCGUCCCAGUCCGGAUUGCAGUCUGCAACUCGACUGCAUGAAGUUGGAAUCGCUAGUAAUUCGAGAUCAGCAUGCUCGGGUGAAUGCGUUCCCGGGCCUU